CCUACGGGUGGCUGCAGUGGGGAAUAUUGCACAAUGGGCGCAAGCCUGAUGCAGCCAUGCCGCGUGUGUGAAGAAGGCCUUCGGGUUGUAAAGCACUUUCAGCGGGGAGGAAGGCGGUGAGGUUAAUAACCUCAUCGAUUGACGUUACCCGCAGAAGAAGCACCGGCUAACUCCGUGCCAGCAGCCGCGGUAAUACGGAGGGUGCAAGCGUUAAUCGGAAUUACUGGGCGUAAAGCGCACGCAGGCGGUCUGUCAAGUCGGAUGUGAGAUCCCCGGGCUCAACCUGGGAACUGCAUUCGAAACUGGCAGGCUAGAGUCUUGUAGAGGGGGGUAGAAUUCCAGGUGUAGCGGUGAAAUGCGUAGAGAUCUGGAGGAAUACCGGUGGCGAAGGCGGCCCCCUGGACAAAGACUGACGCUCAGGUGCGAAAGCGUGGGGAGCAAACAGGAUUAGAUACCCGUGUAGUC
rnacentral:rRNA from 1 species